rnacentral:rRNA from 1 species
ACCUGACGCAGCGACGCCGCGUGAGGGAUGAAGGCCUUCGGGUUGUAAACCUCUUUCAGCAGGGAGAAGCGAAAGUGACGGUACCUGCAGAAGAAGCACCGGCUAACUACGUGCCAGCAGCCGCGGUAAUACGUAGGGUGCAAGCGUUGUCCGGAAUUAUUGGGCGUAAAGAGCUCGUAGGCGGUUUGUCGCGUCUGCUGUGAAAUCCCAGGGCUUAACCCUGGGCCUGCAGUGGGUACGGGCAAACUAGAGUGCGGUAGGGGAGAUCGGAAUUCCUGGUGUAGCGGUGAAAUGCGCAGAUAUCAGGAGGAACACCGGUGGCGAAGGCGGAUCUCUGGGCCGUAACUGACGCUGAGGAGCGAAAGCAUGGGUAGCGAACAGGAUUAGAUACCCUGGUAGUCCAUGCCGUAAACGUUGGGCGCUAGGUGUGGGGCUCAUUCCACGAGUUCCGUGCCGCAGCUAACGCAUUAAGCGCCCCGCCUGGGGAGUACGGCCGCAAGGCUA